GGGACACGUGGUAUCCUGUCUGAAUAUGGGGGGACCAUCCUCCAAGGCUAAAUACUCCUGACUGACCGAUAGUGAACCAGUACCGUGAGGGAAAGGCGAAAAGAACCCCGGCGAGGGGAGUGAAAAAGAACCUGAAACCGUGUACGUACAAGCAGUGGGAGCCUCUUAAUGGGGUGACUGCGUACCUUUUGUAUAAUGGGUCAGCGACUUAUAUUCUGUAGCAAGGUUAACCGAAUAGGGGAGCCGAAGGGAAACCGAGUCUUAACUGGGCGUUAAGUUGCAGGGUAUAGACCCGAAACCCGGUGAUCUAGCCAUGGGCAGGUUGAAGGUUGGGUAACACUAACUGGAGGACCGAACCGACUAAUGUUGAAAAAUUAGCGGAUGACUUGUGGCUGGGGGUGAAAGGCCAAUCAAACCGGGAGAUAGCUGGUUCUCCCCGAAAGCUAUUUAGGUAGCGCCUCGUGAAUUCAUCUCCGGGGGUAGAGCACUGUUUCGGCAAGGGGGUC
rnacentral:rRNA from 1 species